GAUGAACGCUGGCGGCGUGCCUAAUACAUGCAAGUCGAGCGAAUGGAUUAAGAGCUUGCUCUUAUGAAGUUAGCGGCGGACGGGUGAGUAACACGUGGGUAACCUGACCAUAAGACUGGGAUAACCCCGGGAAACCGGGGCUAAUACCGGAUAACAUUUUGAACCGCAUGGUUCGAAAUUGAAAGGCGGCUUCGGCUGUCACUUAUGGAUGGACCCGGGUCGCAUUAGCUAGUUGGUGAGGUAACGGCUAACCAAGGCAACGAUGCGUAGCCGACCUGAGAGGGUGAUCGGCCACACUGGGACUGAGACACGGCCCAGACUCCUACGGGAGGCAGCAGUAGGGAAUCUUCCGCAAUGGACGAAAGUCUGACGGAGCAACGCCGCGUGAGUGAUGAAGGCUUUCGGGUCGUAAAACUCUGUUGUUAGGGAAGAACAAGUGCUAGUUGAAUAAGCUGGCACCUUGACGGUACCUAACCAGAAAGCCACGGCUAACUACGUGCCAGCCGCCGCGGUAA
rnacentral:rRNA from 1 species